rnacentral:rRNA from 1 species
AUUGAACGCUGGCGGCAGGCUUAACACAUGCAAGUCGAGCGGAGAUGAGGUGCUUGCACCUUAUCUUAGCGGCGGACGGGUGAGUAAUGCUUAGGAAUCUGCCUAUUAGUGGGGGACAACAUUCCGAAAGGAAUGCUAAUACCGCAUACGCCCUACGGGGGAAAGCAGGGGAUCUUCGGACCUUGCGCUAAUAGAUGAGCCUAAGUCGGAUUAGCUAGUUGGUGGGGUAAAGGCCUACCAAGGCGACGAUCUGUAGCGGGUCUGAGAGGAUGAGCCGCCACACUGGGACUGAGACACGGCCCAGACUCCUACGGGAGGCAGCAGUGGGGAAUAUUGGACAAUGGGCGGAAGCCUGAUCCAGCCAUGCCGCGUGUGUGAAGAAGGCCUUUUGGUUGUAAAGCACUUUAAGCGAGGAGGAGGCUACCUGGAUUAAUACUCUAGGAUAGUGGACGUUACUCGCAGAAUAAGCACCGGCUAACUCUGUGCCAGCCGCCGCAGUAAGAC